AACUGAAUUAAGUGAAGCCGCGAAUAGCUCAUUACAACAGCCGUUGUUUCUUGGAUCUCCUCUUUACUUGGAUAACUGUGGUAAUUCUAGAGCUAAUACACGCAAUCAAGCUCCGACCGUAAGGGAAGAGCGCAUUUAUUAGAACAAGGCCAAUCGGCUCCGGCCGUAAGUCUGGCGAAUCUGAAUAACUCAGCAGAGCGUACUGGUCCUAGUACCGACGCCGCAUCUUUCAAGUGUCUGCCUUAUCAACUUUCGAUGGUAGUUUACGUGCCUACCAUGGUUGUAACGGGUAACGGAGAAUAAGGGUUCGACUCCGGAGAGGGAGCCUGAAAAACGGCUACCACUUCUAAGGAAGGCAGAAGGCGCGCAGAUUACCCACUCUCAGCACGAGGAGGUAGUGACGAAAAAUAACGAGACGGCCCUCUUUGAGGGCCGUCAUCGGAAUGAGUACAAUCUAAACCCUUUAACGAGGAUCUAGCGGAGGGCAAGUCUGGUGCCAGCAGCCGCGGUAAUUCCAGCUCCGCAGGUGUAUAUCUAUGCUGCUGCGGUUAAAAAGCUCGUAGUUGGAUCUGCGUGCCCAGUGGGCGGUCCGACCUCACGGUCGCGAACUGCGCCACGGCACUUUAGGCCAGUCUUCUCCGGGUGCCCUUCACCGGGUGUCCGCUAGUGGCUAGCGAGUUUACUUUGAAAAAAUUAGAGUGCUCAAAACAGGCGUCUCGCCUGUAUACUGUUGCAUGGAAUAAUAGAAUAGGACCUCGGCUCUAUUUUGUUGGCUUUCGGAACAGGAGGUAAUGAUUAAGAGGGACAGACGGGGCAUUCGUAUUGCGACGUUAGAGGUGAAAUUCUUGGAUCGUCGCAAGACGCCCAACUGCAAAAGCAUUUGCCCAAGAAUGUUUUCAUUAAUCAAGAACGAAAGUUAGAGGUUCGAAGGCGAUCAGAUACCGCCUAGUUCUAACCGUAAACGAUACCAACUAGCGAUCCGACGGUGUUAGAAAUGACCCGUCGGGGAGCUUCCCGGGAAACGAAAGUCUUCCGGUUCCGGGGGAAGUAUGGUUGCAAAUCUGAAACUUAAAGGAAUUGACGGAAGGGCACCACCAGGAGUGGAGCCUGCGGCUUAAUUUGACUCAACACGGGAAAACUCACCCGGCCCGGACACUGUAAGGAUUGACAGAUUGAGAGCUCUUUCUUGAUUCGGUGGGUGGUGGUGCAUGGCCGUUCUUAGUUGGUGGAGCGAUUUGUCUGGUUAAUUCCGAUAACGAACGAGACUCCAGCCUGCUAACUAGUACGCGUAUCUCUCGGUGCGCGCUACUUCUUAGAGGGACAAGCGGUGUUCAGCCGCAUGAGAAGGAGCAAUAACAGGUCUGUGAUGCCCUUAGAUGUCCGGGGCUGCACGCGCGCUACACUGAAAGGAUCAGAGUGCUAGUUCACCUUGCCCGAAAGGGCUGGGUAACCCGCGCAAAACCUUUCGUGAUUGGGAUAGGGACUUGCAAUUAUUUCCCUUGAACGAGGAAUUCCCAGUAAGUGCGGGUCAUAAGCUCGCGUUGAUUACGUCCCUGCCCUUUGUACACACCGCCCGUCGCUGCCCGGGACUGAGCCGUUUCGAGAAGAACGGGGACCGCGGACGCUUGGCUCUCACGGGCUUUUCGUUUGUGGAAACCGUUUAAUCGCAGCGGCUGACCCGGCAAAAC
rnacentral:rRNA from 1 species